GACAAACGAUAGAAUGAAUAGAAAAAAAGAAAAGAAAAACAUCUAUCGGCAAGUCCCGUCCAGCUAUUCGAUAGUUUUCACGCCGCCACUCGCGUUACAGCUUGGAUGCUUCGAAAAAACUUGAUAUUUCAAUACCAUCCGGCCUCCUAGGGGUUCGCGGACCCCAGGUUGAUAAUCGCUGGUCUAGCAUAUUAUGCAGUUCAGAGAUUACUAUUACAAACCACUUCCCGUUUCUCGUUGAUGUUCCUCUAUAUUUGUGGUUUAGAGAUGGACCAGGACCAGAGUACUAUUCUUAUUGCGCUGCCGUCAAUCUCCAGCAAACCAUCCAACAAGCGGUAAACACACAGAAAUGUGCGUGUGUGCGUCUUGAAAGAACCUGACUGAAAACACCAUACAUUCGAGCCUAAUAGAAACAUUGAUAGGAGUGUGAGACGAAUGGCACUGCGAGCGCUGCUGCUGGUAGUGUUGUAGAAAGCAGCAUACACGCGGGUGAGUUGCACAAUAUGCUUGUAUGAUAUGAUAAUGUUGAAAUUAGUUGCACAUCAGCAUAGAAACAAGUGGACGAGAGCGACUUGUCCGCCACAUUAAUCCCUGUGUGUGGUGCCGGCUACCGCCUUGCAGUGUUGUGGAACAGACCAUAAUCAUAGACAGGCUUCACAUGUUCAACGGGCAUUUUGGCGGGAAACUAGUCAAAUCGAAAGUGAUUCGUUGUCCAUCGACAAAACGGUACAUAAAAGACUGCGGAAAUGGAAUCAAAAUGAUAAUGCUCGAUUGCGGGAUUAUUACAAUAAGACAUUGGAUUAAAAAAAAUUAAAAGAUCAUGAACUUUUGUUUAACCCAUUCAUGCCCGUGUUUUUAUAAUAGUCCAUGCAAGUUACCCUUACACAAACUAGUAGUAUUUCCUACCCGUCUGUGAUUUUUUAUUUGAG